rnacentral:rRNA from 1 species
AUGCACGCUGGCGGCGUGCUUAACACCUGCAAGUCGAACGGAAAGGCCGAAGCUUGCUUCGGUACUCGAGUGGCGAACGGGUGAGUAACACGUGGGUGAUCUGCCCUGUACUUCGGGAUAAGCUUGGGAAACUGGGUCUAAUACCGGAUAUGACGAUCUCUUGGAUGGGGUUGUGGAAAGCUUUUGCGGUAUGGGAUGAGCUCGCGGCCUAUCAGCUUGUUGGUGGGGUAAUGGCCUACCAAGGCGUCGACGGGUAGCCGGCCUGAGAGGGUGUACGGCCACAUUGGGACUGAGAUACGGCCCAGACUCCUACGGGAGGCAGCAGUGGGGAAUAUUGCACAAUGGGCGCAAGCCUGAUGCAGCGACGCCGCGUGGGGGAUGACGGCCUUCGGGUUGUAAACUCCUUUCGCAAUCGACGAAGCCUUUUGGUGACGGUAGGUUGAGAAGAAGCACCGGCUAACUACGUG